AUUCCAGCUCCAAUAGCGUAUAUUAAAGUUGUUGCGGUUAAAAAGCUCGUAGUUGGAUCUCGGCGGGCAGGGGGCGGUUCGUUAUCUGACGCUACUGCCCCGUGUGCCCGUGUUUUUUGGCGGAGGCUCGGCUGUGCUCUUAACCGAGUGUAGUCUGGCGCCGCCAGGUUUACUUUGAAAAAAUUAGAGUGCUCAAAGCAGGCUUGACACGCUUGAAUAUUCGUGCAUGGAAUAAUGGAAUAGGACGUCGCUUCUAUUUUGUUGGUUUUCGGAAAUCGACGUAAUGAUUAAUAGGGACAGUCGGGGGCAUUAGUAUUCAGGCGACAGAGGUGAAAUUCUUGGACCGCCUGAAGACUCACUACUGCGAAAGCAUUUGCCAAGAAUGUUUUCAUUAAUCAAGAACGAAAGUUAGAGGUUCGAGGGCGAUCAGAUACCGCCCUAGUUCUAACCAUAAACGAUGCCAGCUAGUAAUCCGCGGACGUUUUUUAUCUAGGCUCCGCGGGAGACUUCCGGGAAACCAAAGCUUUUGGGUUCCGGGGGAAGUAUGGUUGCAAAGCUGAAACUUAAAGGAAUUGACGGAAGGGCACCACCAGGAGUGGAGCCUGCGGCUUAAUUUGACUCAACACGGGAAAUCUCACCAGGCCCGGACACUGGAAGGAUUGACAGAUUGAGAGCUC
rnacentral:rRNA from 1 species